CUCUGAAUCUGAAGGAAUCAAGCAACAUCAGGUAUGUUAAUCUAUAAUCCGUUGAUGAUUACAUUGUAAUGUAUGUUAAUUUUCUUAUGGUCCAUAUAAGUUCGUAUUCUAGGGUUUUGAAACAGUCGCAGUAAAUCCUCUAGCCGUUUCUUAUCAUCUCUCUCAUGAAAUCGAUCAACAUCAAUUAGAUUAAAUCAAAUGAACCCUUCCUCUCAAUUCGAUCAGUGGAGGUUUGGAAAAGCUAAAGCACAAGUCUCUAUGAAUGCUCAGACAACACAAAUGGUGGUUUGUUAAUGCUUAUUGUUUUUGUAAAUAACUAUUUGUGGUUACAUUAUGUGCUUGUGUUACAUAGGAACCAUAAAGGACUUAUCUGAUUGCAUUGUGAAUACUGGAAAAGUGUUCUAAAUGACAUUCUAAUUACUGAUUGUUUAAUAUAUGUAGAGUCAAUUAUUCUGUAAUUGAUUUAUUGUUUCCUGUUUUUUUUUUUUUUUUUUUUUUUU
rnacentral:lncRNA from 1 species